rnacentral:rRNA from 1 species
UACGUAGGGUGCAAGCGUUGUCCGGAAUUAUUGGGCGUAAAGAGCUCGUAGGCGGUCUGUUGCGUCCGCUGUGAAAACUCGGGGCUUAACCCCGAGCCUGCAGUGGAUACGGGCAGACUAGAGGUAGGUAGGGGAGAAUGGAAUUCCCGGUGUAGCGGUGAAAUGCGUAGAGAUCCGGAGGAACACCAGCGGCGAAGGCGGCAUCCUGGACUGGUCCUGACACUCAGGAGCGAAAGCGUGGGGAGCGAUCCGG